rnacentral:snRNA from 1 species
AGAUGUGAGGGCGAUCUGGCUGUGACAUCUGUCACUUCAUUGAUUGCCAGGAUUGAGUAACUGAUCUGGCUGGCUAGGUGGGUGUCCCCUUCCUCCCUCACUGCUCCAUGUGCAUCCCUCCCGAAGCUGUGCAUUUGUUCUAAGAGAACAACCAUCCCAGAUAGAGGUGGACCGUUUUCUCAGUCAAGGGUAUACCAGUAGCUGAGCUCCCCUGCUAGAACCUCCAAACAAGCUCUUGAGGUUCAUAAAGGCAUCUUCUCUAGGUUUUUUAAAGUUUUAUUUUUAUCAGUAUAUCUUUGCAGUACAUGCGGUUAUAU